UACGUAGGGACCGAGCGUUGUCCGGAUUCAUUGGGCGUAAAGAGCUCGUAGGCGGCUGUUCAAGUCGAACGAUGAAACCUCGGGGCGUCAAGCUCCGAAGCCUGCGUUCGAUACUGGACGGCUAGAGUCUGGUAGGGGGAUCUGGGAAUUCCAACGUGUAGCGGUGAAAUGCGUAGAUAUCUGGAGGAACACCGGUGGCGAAGGCGGCAUCCUGGACCGACACUGACGCUGAGGAGGCGAAAGCCAGGGGAGCCAAACGGG
rnacentral:rRNA from 1 species